rnacentral:rRNA from 1 species
AUUGAACGCUGGCGGCAGGCCUAACACAUGCAAGUCGAACGAGUGGCGGACGGGUGAGUAAUGUCUGGGAAACUGCCUGAUGGAGGGGGAUAACUACUGGAAACGGUAGCUAAUACCGCAUACCAUCGGAUGUGCCCAGAUGGGAUUAGCUAGUAGGUGGGGUAAAGGCUCACCUAGGCGACGAUCCCUAGCUGGUCUGAGAGGAUGACCAGCCACACUGGAACUGAGACACGGUCCAGACUCCUACGGGAGGCAGCAGUGGGGAAUAUUGCACAAUGGGCGCAAGCCUGAUGCAGCAACGCCGCGUGCGGGAAGACGGCCUUCGGGUUGUAAACCGCUUUCAUCUAUGACGCGGUAAUAGAAGAAGAAGCACCGGCUAACUACGUGCCAGCAGCCGCGGUAAUAC